rnacentral:rRNA from 1 species
CUACGGGACGCAGCAGUGGGGAAUAUUGGACAAUGGGCGCAAGCCUGAUCCAGCCAUGCCGCGUGGAUGAAGAAGGCCCUAGGGUUGUAAAAUCCUUUCGCUAGGGAUGAUAAUGACAGUACCUAGUAAAGAAGCCCCGGCUAAUUUCGUGCCAGCAGCCGCGGUAAUACGAAAGGGGCUAGCGUUGUUCGGAAUUACUGGGCGUAAAGCGCACGUAGGCGGCCUACCAAGUUAGAGGUGAAAUCCCGGGGCUUAACCCCGGAACUGCCUUUAAAACUGGUAAGCUAGAGGAUGUGAGAGGUGAGUGGAAUUCCGAGUGUAGAGGUGAAAUUCGUAGAUAUUCGGAAGAACACCAGUGGCGAAGGCGACUCACUGGCACAUUUCUGACGCUGAGGUGCGAAAGCGUGGGGAGCAAACAGGAUUAGAUACCCCGGUAGUC